CUCUGCUUAUAAAGAUGUACCUAGGACAUUCCUGAAAGCCUGGUUGUGGGGUGGCGGAGGGCAGUGGUAGGAAGGAUGUACCUAGGGUGAACAAGCCUCCUCCUUGGGAGACUUCAGUUAUGGAGUAAUUAGUUGGCAUCAGCAGUUUCUAACCAAGAGACUGAUACUGAGUUAUUACGUCCUAGAAGGCUACCAAAAUACGUAUGUAGAUAGGCAUUCUUGUAAAUAGCUCUGUUAAUGUUCUCCUUUUUUGUGCAUAGCCUCCUUGCAAUAUGGUCAGCAGACCUGGCCAUCCUAUUCUAUGGUUGGGUUAAACAAGAAGUAAGAAUAAAGGGGUCUAGAAGUUUAACUCUAUAAAGGGACCAACAGUAUAAUCUAAACAGAUUGUUGCAUUUGAGAUUCUGGCAAAUUGAGUCACAAGAUAUACUAAUGGGUCUCUAAAAAGCCAUGCAAGUAUUUUGACUUAGCAUGGAAAAUCCAGAAUUUAGCUAAAUUUUCUGCAGAAGCUAUAGACUGUGAGAUUCUAAUUAUGGCAUUAUCGUGCCAUACACAGAAAGGAAGAGUAAGAAACAGGAGAUGAAAAGAACAGGGGUUCCAUGAUAGGAAGAGGAGGUACUUUUUUUUUUUUUUUUUUGAGAUGGAGUCUUGCUCUGUCACCCAGGCUGGAUUGCAGUGGCACUAUCUCGGCUCACUGCAAGCUCCACCUCCCAGGUUCACGCCACUCACCUGCCUCAGCCUCCCGAGUAGCUGGGACUACAGGCACCCGCCACCAUGCCCGACUAAUUUUUUGUAUUUUUAGUAGAGACGGGGUUUCACUGUGUUAGCCAGGAUGGUCUUGAUCUUCUGACCUCGUGAUCUGCCCUCCUCGGCCUCCCAAAGUGCUGGGAUUACAGGCGUGAGCCACUGCACCCACCCCAGGAAGAGGAGGUUCUUG
rnacentral:lncRNA from 1 species